rnacentral:tRNA from 1 species
GUGCUUGAGUACAUAGUGGUGAGUAUUUCCGCCUGUCACGCGGACGACCCGGGUUCGAUCCCCGGCAACGGCG